rnacentral:rRNA from 1 species
UGGGGAAUAUUGCACAAUGGGCGCAAGCCUGAUGCAGCCAUGCCGCGUGUGUGAAGAAGGCCUUCGGGUUGUAAAGCACUUUCAGCGAGGAGGAAGGGUAGUGUGUUAAUAGCACAUUGCAUUGACGUUACUCGCAGAAGAAGCACCGGCUAACUCCGUGCCAGCAGCCGCGGUAAUACGGAGGGUGCAAGCGUUAAUCGGAAUUACUGGGCGUAAAGCGCGCGCAGGCGGUUUGUUAAGUCAGAUGUGAAAUCCCCGCGCUUAACGUGGGAACUGCAUUUGAAACUGGCAAGCUAGAGUCUUGGAGAGGGGGGUAGAAUUCCAGGUGUAGCGGUGAAAUGCGUAGAGAUCUGGAGGAAUACCGGUGGCGAAGGCGGCCCCCUGGACAAAGACUGACGCUCAGGUGCGAAAGCGUGGGGAGCAAACA